rnacentral:rRNA from 1 species
UACGUAGGGGGCUAGCGUUGUCCGGAAUCAUUGGGCGUAAAGCGCGUGUAGGCGGCUUGGUAAGUCCGUUCUGAAAGCCCGGGGCUCAACCCCGGGAGGCGGAUGGAUACUGUCAAGCUCGAGUCCGGAAGAGGCAAGUGGAAUUCCCGGUGUAGCGGUGAAAUGCGCAGAUAUCGGGAGGAACACCGGUGGCGAAGGCGCUCAUCUGGCCCAAUACUGACGCUGAGGCGCGAAAGCUAGGGGAGCAAACGGG